GAUCAACGCUGGCGGCGUGCAUGAGACAUGCAAGUCGAACGAAGGAUCGGGCUUGCUCGCUCCUUAGUGGCGGACGGCUGAGUAACGCGUAGUUGACCUACCCCUAAGUGGGGAAUAACUGCCCGAAAGGGCGGCUAAUACCCCGUGUGUGCGCAUGUUCAAUCGUUCGAGUAAAUGCGCAGGGCGCAUCGGGAGGGGCCUGCCUCCGUUUAGCACGUUGGUCGGGUAAUGGCUUACCAAGGCGACGCUCGGUAGGUGGUCUGAGAGGAAGAUCACCCAGGCCGGGAAUGAGGCACGGCCCAGACUCCAACGGGAGGCAGAAGUCGGGAAUUUUGCCAAAUAGGGGAAACCCUGAAGCAGCAACGCCGCGUGAGGGAUGAAGGCCUUCGGGUUGUAAACCUCUUUUGACAGGGACGAUGAUGACGGUACCUGGCGAAUAAGCCACGGCUAACUACGUG
rnacentral:rRNA from 1 species